CUCCUCUUCUUUCCCAUUCUCAUGUCUCAGCCUAAAUCGAAAAACCCCAAAUUUAAAAAGAAAUCCCUCAUCUUCUUCUCCGUCUUGUCUCUGCGCCCUAACUGAGAAAAAAAUCCCUCCUCUUCUUCCCCGUUCUCAUCUCUCAUCAAUCCCUCUUCUCUGCCUUUGUCUCUGUCUCGUCUUUGAGCCCUAACCGAGGGAAAAUCCCCAUUGUGACCAAAAUUUGCCCCCAAUUAGACCCCUAACCCAUAAUCUUCCUUCUUUCCCUCAAUUGAUCCAAUGCGUGACUGUCGCUACCUCCUCUGUCUAGUAGUUCGAGUGACUGGCAUCAGUAACUUCUCUAAUAGUUCUUCACCUUACAGCUACUGUCGCCUCCUCCUAUGGUUCGCCUACCUGCCGUCACCUCCUCCAACGCCUCUCCUAACCACCGACCGCCGCCUUCUCUAGUGUCUUUCCUAUCAGUAGAGAUUUUGUUUUAUGAGCUUGUGAGGAAGUUAAGCCUUUGCGAAUGAGCUGAAUCCCUAAAAUCCAUCCUAAGCUUCUACAAGUGUCCAAAAACUUUAUGGAGGAAUGAAGUGCAAGAUUUAGUUAGAGACUCGGCUAGUUUUAGGAAGUUUGAUAAUAACUCGAGGGAUCUAAAAUUUCAAGAGAGGAUUACUGAAGCUGCCACUACAGAAGCUGCCGCUACAAAAUUCAAUGGAAAGGUCAAAACUUUUAUAUUUGUACUUGUAAUAUUUGUACUUGCAGUAGCCUAGAUUGUGGGGUGUUCUUGAUGUUAUACAUGUUCAGCCUCAUCUCCGAUCAACUGAUUUCAAUAGACCAAAAGAAUUGUGCGAGACGUAGAGCUCGUAUCGUAGUCCUAUUUCUAUCUGAAGGGAGAGCAUCUGAUUAGAACAUUCCUGGAUAUAAAUAUUCACCUCAAGCUAAGUCCUCUGAUGCCAGAUGCCAUCAAUCUCAGCUUUUGUUCUUAUGUAGUUUUGUGAGUGCAACCAAGCCUGCUCUUAUAUGAAAAUUUCUCUUUGAUUGAUGGAUUAUUUGUUUGUAAACUUCAUCUUUCUACUAGUGUACUUUGUAUCUCUUAGGCAGCCAAGCCUGCUCUUAAAUGCAAAUUUCUCUUUGAUUGA